GCGGAGGAAAAGAAACCAACAGGGAUUGCUCUAGUAACGGCGAGUGAAGCAGCAAUAGCUCAAAUUUGAAAUCUGGCGUCUUCGACGUCCGAGUUGUAAUUUGUAGAGGAUGCUUCUGAGUGGCCACCGACCUAAGUUCCUUGGAACAGGACGUCAUAGAGGGUGAGAAUCCCGUAUGCGGUCGGAAAGGCGCUCUAUACGUAGCUCCUUCGACGAGUCGAGUUGUUUGGGAAUGCAGCUCUAAAUGGGAGGUAAAUUUCUUCUAAAGCUAAAUAUUGGCCAGAGACCGAUAGCGCACAAGUAGAGUGAUCGAAAGAUGAAAAGCACUUUGGAAAGAGAGUUAAAAAGCACGUGAAAUUGUUAAAAGGGAAGGGAUUGCAACCAGACUUGCUCGCGGUGUUCCGCCGGUCUUCUGACCGGUCUACUCGCCGCGUUGCAGGCCAGCAUCGUCUGGUGCCGCUGGAUAAGACUUGAGGAAUGUAGCUCCCUCGGGAGUGUUAUAGCCUCUUGUGAUGCAGCGAGCGCCGGGCGAGGUCCGCGCUUCGGCUAGGAUGCUGGCGUAAUGGUCGUAAUCCGCCCGUCUUGAAACACGGACCAAGGAGUCUAACAUCUAUGCGAGUGUUCGGGUGUCAAACCCCUACGCGUAAUGAAAGUGAACGGAGGUGAGAACCGCAAGGUGCAUCAUCGACCGAUCCUGAUGUCUUCGGAUGGAUUUGAGUAAGAGCAUAGCUGUUGGGACCCGAAAGAUGGUGAACUAUGCCUGAAUAGGGUGAAGCCAGAGGAAACUCUGGUGGAGGCUCGCAGCGGUUCUGACGUGCAAAUCGAUCGUCAAAUUUGGGUAUAGGGGCGAAAGACUAAUC
rnacentral:rRNA from 1 species